CCUCGCUGCUCCCUCCCUCUCUCUCUCCCUCUCUGCUGCAUUUUGCAUGAGCUAUCUAGGUCAUUAGCAUUUUAGCGUAUGCAAGACUUGACAAAGCUGAUGAGAAGCCAGAUGGGCCCCUCUCCUCUUUUUUUUGCACCACUUGGGAUCUGAGCGAAAGGAUUGACUGCAGCAGGCGAACGGGGGAAGGUUUAUUGCGCUCCUCCAGACCCCCCCGUUUAUAGCAGCGCGGCGGGGCUCGGGGCAGGCGGCAGAGAGCGGGCAGCGGCGGGCAGAGACGGAGGGCAGCUCCGCGCCCGGACCCUCACCUACGGAAUGGUGCCCUUGGGAACACUGACAGCGGCUCGGGGGCCCUGGGACGCCUCUUUGCUCCCCCCCGCGGGGUGCUGCAGGUAUUUCGGGACAGCCCUCCCUGGGCUCUCCUCCCGCCGGGUGCGGAUGCCGCAAGGAGCCCGUCGGGUCGUGCCGUGCCGUGCCAAUAAAGCUCUUUCCUCGCGGGUUCCCG